CGACUACUCAAUAAGUGAGUUGAGGUGUGGAUUGGAUUAUGAGUGAGUUGAGUUUCGAGGACGAAAUUCUUUUUAAAGAGGGGAGGAUGUAAGGUACUGGACUUCUAAAAUAAUGAAGUUACGGUUUAUGUUGGUUUGGAGAGCCAUUGGAAUGGUUCCGGUGAAAUUCGAAAGCAUUCGGGCGUUUCCGGAGCCCGUAGGCGCGAAAACGGGACCCGAAAGGCUAUGUUGGACCGUGAACUAAAUCCGGCAUUAGCGCAGAUGAAAAGAUGAUGAAAACACGCUCGAAAAUAUGUUUGGAGAGUCUCGGUUCGAUUUGAAAAGAAUUGGAGG
rnacentral:lncRNA from 1 species